rnacentral:rRNA from 1 species
UACAGAGGUCUCAAGCGUUGUUCGGAUUCAUUGGGCGUAAAGGGUGUGUAGGUGGCGCCGUAAGUCGGGUGUGAAAUUUCGGAGCUUAACUCCGAAACUGCAUUCGAUACUGCGGUGCUUGAGGACUGGAGAGGAGACUGGAAUCCAUGGUGUAGCGGUGAAAUGCGUAGAGAUCAUGAGGAAGACCAGUGGCGAAGGCGGGUCUCUGGACAGUUCCUGACACUGAGACACGAAGGCCAGGGGAGCAAACGGG